CAACUCCUCGAACCAUCUGGAAACAAAUCGACAGCGCUGGAAUCGAUCUGGCCGGGUGGUCGCUGUCGCCGAUGUCCUUCCCCAGUGCCUCUCAUGCCCCUCAACUCCACCGCCCACCACCAUGAUGGCCCUCCAGCUCGACGCCCUCUCCACCCCUUGCCUCUCUCCUUCGGUGCCGACCUCGGCAAGCAUGCGCCGAUGUCGUCCGCCUGCCGAUGCCUCUCCUGCAUCCUCUACUGAUGCCUCCAUUCCAGCGCUCCCACCUCCAUCUACCCGUCCUCGUCUUCAUCCCCUCCACCGCCCCCUGUAUUACCAGCCACCGCACGUAUGCCGCGAGCGUCAUCCGUGCCCCAACGCCUCCCCUGCUUCCACCCUUUCUUACAGCAGCACCCGACAACGACCUCUACAAGUAUGCUGCCGGCUGCCCGCUGCUCAUCCUUGGUGUUGGUGGCGUCAUCUACUGCAUAACUGCAGCAUGCUUCAUACUUCAUGGUGUUUGACAAGUUGUCGGUGUAUAUUAUUUUCCCACUACUAUCAACUACAAGUUUCGAACCUUAUUAUUAGGCAUGCUUGUUGUGACAGGCUCUUGGCAAAUACUCCGAAAUGCUUUUGUAUUUUAAGAUUUUGAUUCUUUUUUCGUUAACCUUCCCUUUUGUUUUUGGGCGAAAGCACACAGGUCUUACGCCAAAAUGUUACAACCCUGAAUGUGAGUGGAUCAUUACUUUCACUUGAUAAGUGUGUUGUUUGGUCAUUUUUGUGUUCAUACUGAAGUGAUUUAGUGGCUGGUUUGCAGGAUAGCUUAAUUUGCGAGAAAGUAUUAUCUUUGCAAUGUGGUUGUCAAUGCAUAUUAAGGUUGCUUCAUAAUUCAAACAUUUACAUGUGCAUAAAAAUUGUGUAUUUUGGUACAAGGUAAAACUAUAAAUUAUUCCUUCCUUUAUGCGCAUGCUGUGAUGGUCAGGAGGCUUGAUGUUUCAUGUCACAAAGAAACCGACCAAGUACUUACUUCCCUGUAUGCUAUCGAACUGACCAAAUGGAAUUUGCCACCUUUUAAGAGUAGUGGAAAUUAUUUGGCUAGCAAAUUUUUGCUGGGUGGUUUACUUAUGCAAAGCUAGAAUUUUGGUUAGGAUUAAUGGUAACCUUUGAGCAGCUUGAUGUGUCUGAUGGUAAUUGCAAACUACUGCAUAAGAGCGUCCCAUCAAUUUUGAUGUGCGUAGGGCAAUUGUACUUCUGAAUUUUCUCAAAGAAAUCUACAUUGUAGGGUUCAACUAUUUCUAAAUUAUGGGGUUGCGACAACAAGGGCGAGGUGCAUGAGCAUCACACAAAGAUGGGCAAUCGCGAGGAAUGUAGGAAUCGGCAAGGUGUUGCAUUGCGGUUACUGCUGCAAGGUUGACUAUGGAGGUUACUACUCCUAACUUAAUUCAUUUUGCUCGUCCAUAGAAGCUUUACUUGCUUUCUAAAUCUUCCAUCCACAUUUGUUGCCAUAAGUGAUGCAUGAUCUUGAGGAGUAACUAUUUCAAUACCUUAUGUUUUCUGCUCAAGCACUAAUAAUUUUUAUUUGAAUGUGCAUACCCAAUGUGUGGAUGUGUGGUAACCCUUUCGGUGAUGUUGGUUGGUGCCUACCCUUUCGAGGAUCCAGAAGAUCCCAGGAACUUCAAAUGACAAUGCAGUUUUGUGAGAACAAUGGAGCAAGGAGGGCAUGCGGCAAAAUUGUCUCUAUAGUAUCCACUUGCAGAAGGUUUCUCUCUAGAAGUUCUAAUUGAGAAUGACAUGUAGAAAUGGGUGCAACAUUAUAAUACCCAUCUCACCAUCUGAUAUGUGGUCUAAGAAGGAUGAAUAAUGAUAGCCAGUGCAUGGUUGCUUUCUCAUGAUUUCAACACAUGCUCUCCAUCUAUUUAAUGUUUUAUGCCCAGAUUCUUGUAUAUUUACAUCCUACAGAUUAAUCUAUUUUAAUUACAUUCUUGUGCAAAAGUGUAAAUUCACGCAUGUCAUUGUAAUGUUAUAUUUGUAAUCUGCUGAGGAACCAUUUUUGGAGCCUUUUGGAAUAGAGGAAUGGAUUCAGUAAACAUGAAUUUCA